rnacentral:rRNA from 1 species
GAUGAACGCUGGCGGCGUGCUUAACACAUGCAAGUCGAACGAUGAAGCCCAGCUUGCUGGGUGGAUUAGUGGCGAACGGGUGAGUAACACGUGAGUAACCUGCCCUUGACUCUGGGAUAAGCCUGGGAAACUGGGUCUAAUACCGGAUAGGAACGUCCACCGCAUGGUGGUUGUUGGAAAGAUUUAUCGGUCAUGGAUGGACUCGCGGCCUAUCAGCUUGUUGGUGAGGUAAUGGCUCACCAAGGCGACGACGGGUAGCCGGCCUGAGAGGGUGACCGGCCACACUGGGACUGAGACACGGCCCAGACUCCUACGGGAGGCAGCAGUGGGGAAUAUUGCACAAUGGGCGAAAGCCUGAUGCAGCGACGCCGCGUGAGGGAUGACGGCCUUCGGGUUGUAAACCUCUUUCAGUAGGGAAGAAGCGA